rnacentral:tRNA from 1 species
GGGACUGUCGCAUAUUGGUUAAUGCUCUCUGCUUAUAACGGGGUAAACUGGGUUCAAUUCCCAGCAGUCCUA